GACAGAGGGUGCAAACGUUGUUCGGAAUUACUGGGCGUAAAGAGCGUGUAGGCGGUUCGGUAGGUCCGUUGUGGAAACUCGAGGCUCAACCUCGAGACGCCGAUGGAAGCCAUUGAACUAGAGUCCGGAAGAGGAGAGUGGAAUUCCUGGUGUAGCGGUGAAAUGCGCAGAUAUCAGGAAGAACACCCGUGGCUAAGGCGGCUCUCUAGUACGGUACUGACGCUGAGACGCGAAAGCGUGGGGAGCGAACAGG
rnacentral:rRNA from 1 species